rnacentral:lncRNA from 1 species
CUAAGACCUCCUAAGAAUAUUGCCAUGAUUGUUUCCAAAUCUUCUUCUAUAUUGGCCCUAAUCAUGGCCAUCUCCAUCUCUUUGUAAUAGUCCUCAAUGGACAUAGUUCCCUGUGUUAAACGUUACAAUUUUUGGUGCAUUUCUCUAUAGUAAUAACAAGGUACGAACCUUUUUCACAUGAUGGCCUUCAUCUCUCUCCAAGUGGAGACUAGUUGUUCCCCAUUACACCGUCUAGUGAGGAUUAGUUGAUCCCACCACAUUAGGGCAUAAUCAAUGAAUUCUACAGCUGCCGCUUGAUCUUCCUUUCUUCGUCGUAGUUGUGGCAGUCAAAGAACGGUUCUACUUUUCUUUCCUACUCCAGGAAGGCUUCUAUAUCAUUUCUACCUUUAAAGGAUGGUAUCUUCAUUUUGAUGGAGCUGAUAUUAU